rnacentral:rRNA from 1 species
AGCAGAGAUGCUUUGGUGCCUUCGGGAACUCUGAGACAGGUGCUGCAUGGCUGUCGUCAGCUCGUGUUGUGAAAUGUUGGGUUAAGUCCCGCAACGAGCGCAACCCUUUAUCCUUUGUUGCCAGCGGUCCGGCCGGGAACUCAAAGGAGACUGCCAGUGAUAAACUGGAGGAAGGUGGGGAUGACGUCAAGUCAUCAUGGCCCUUACGAGUAGGGCUACACACGUGCUACAAUGGCGCAUACAAAGAGAAGCGACCUCGCGAGAGCAAGCGGACCUCAUAAAGUGCGUCGUAGUCCGGAUUGGAGUCUGCAACUCGACUCCAUGAAGUCGGAAUCGCUAGUAAUCGUGGAUCAGAAUGCCACGGUGAAUACGUUCCCGGGCCUUGUACACACCGCCCGUCACACCAUGGGAGUGGGUUGCAAAAGAAGUAGGUAGCUUAACCUUCGGGAGGGCGCUUACCACUUUGUGAUUCAUGACUGGGGUGAAGUCGUAACAAGGUAGGCGUAGUGCU